rnacentral:rRNA from 1 species
UACGGAGGGUGCAAGCGUUAUCCGGAUUCACUGGGUUUAAAGGGUGCGUAGGUGGGCAGUUAAGUCAGUGGUGAAAUCUCCGGGCUCAACCGGAAACUGCCAUUGAUACUAUCUGUCUUGAAUAUCGUGGAGGUAAGCGGAAUAUGUCAUGUAGCGGUGAAAUGCUUAGAUAUGACAUAGAACACCAAUUGCGAAGGCAGCUUACUACCCGAAUAUUGACACUGAGGCACGAAAGCGUGGGGAUCAAACAGG